AACGGCGGACGGGUGAGUAACACGUGGGUAACCUACCUUAUAGAUUGGGAUAACUCCGGGAAACCGGGGCUAAUACCGAAUAAUACUUUUUAACACAUGUUUGAAAGCUGAAAGAUGGUUUCGGCUGGUCACUAUAAGAUGGACCCGCGGCGCAUUAGCUAGUUGGUGAGGUAACGGCUCACCAAGGCAACGAUGCGUAGCCGACCUGAGAGGGUGAUCGGCCACACUGGGACUGAGACACGGCCCAGACUCCUACGGGAGGCAGCAGUAGGGAAUCUUCCACAAUGGACGAAAGUCUGAUGGAGCAACGCCGCGUGAGUGAAGAAGGAUUUCGGUUCGUAAAACUCUGUUGCAAGGGAAGAACAAGUAGCGUAGUAACUGGCGCUACCUUGACGGUACCUUGUUAGAAAGCCACGGCUAACUACGUGCCAGCAGCCGCGGUAAUACGUAGGUGGCAAGCGUUGUCCGGAAUUAUUGGGCGUAAAGCG
rnacentral:rRNA from 1 species